rfam:TPA: Bos taurus chromosome 13, whole genome shotgun sequence.
UGGCUCAGACGGUAAAGCGUCUGUCUGCAAUGCAGGAGACCCAGGUUCGAUCCCUGG